CGACAUCAGUGAGUUACCUGUACACGGAGACUUCGAGGUAUAUCUGCCAGCGUCCGCAGACUCCGGAGUCCCCUUCUAUCAUUAUUAUGCUGCUUUCUUAUUUUUUUUAGACCUUGAUAUAUAUAGAGACAUUGAGGAUAAAAUUCUUAGAUGCUUGUGACUUAUUUCUACCAGGUUUUGGGAGUUGCAAUUAUUUAAAGUUUUAGAUUUCUAUUUUUAUUGCGCAUUGAUAGGCUUACCUAGUCUUAGAGACUAGGUGCCAUCACGACAUCCUACGGAGGGAAUUUGGGGUCGUGACAAGGCGAGUUUCAAGAGUCAUUUUCUUUCCCAAAGUGUUGGCAAGUGAUUCUAAACCAUUUUCUUUCAAUUACCCAUUACAUUUCAUGAAUUAUUAACCUAAAAUCUAGAAUUUUUAUGGUAAAAUUAGGGGUUAGGGUAGAAAUUAGGGAUUUCGGAAAUUAGGGGAUUUAGACCUCAAUUUGAGGUCGGAUUCCAAAACCAAUUAUAUAUUUGGGCUCGGAGGUGAAUGAGUAAAUGGAUUUUGGUCUGAACCUCGAGUUUUGACUAAGCGGGCCUAGGGUCGAUUUUUGACUUUUUGGAGAAAAAUUUAAUUUAUGCAAUAUAAUUGAUUCCUUUAGCAAUAUUUGAUAUUAUUGAGUCAUUUUUGAAUAGAUACGAGUGGUUUGGAGGUGAAUUCUAGAGGAAAAGUUGUGAUUGAGAAUUAAGUGGCCUUCGGAACAAGGUAAGUGUUGUGUGUAACCCUGGCUUGAGGGAAUUAGGGACCUUAGACUAUUUGCUAUGUAAAAUUCAUGUGAGUGGCGUAUAUGUGAGGUGACGAGUACUUAUGCGCCGCCAAUUUACCUGUUUUCCAUGUUUCUUCCAUUUUUCUUAUAUUGUCUCUUUCCUAUGCCUAAUUGCUACGUGUUUAUACUAGUAUUGUUAAAUUGAUCGUUCUUAUCAUGUGUACGGAUUAUCUGGUGAUAAUUGAGUAUUUAUUUCAAAGUUGAGAUUGAUAUUGUGGAACCAAAUGUUGAAGUAAGGCUUGUACUUGUUAAUUUAUCUCCAUGUUGUUAUAUAUGCAUUGCAUUAUGGUAAAGGAGAGUGUUAAUGCACGAAGGGUGAUGCCGUGCCAUAUUAUGAGUGUAAAAGCACGAAGGGUGAUGCCGUGCCAUAUUGUUAGUGUAAAAGCACAAAGGGUGAUGCUGUGCCAUAUUGUGAGUGUAAAAGCACGAAGGGUGAUGCCGUGCCAUAUUGUGAGUGUUAAUGCACGAAGGGUGAUGCUGUGCCAUGAUAUGAGAGUUAAUGCACGAAGGGUGAUGCCGUGCCGUUUCUAUUGAUUUUUAUGGUGAGGUUGAGAGUAAAGGCACGAAGGGUGAUGUCGUGCAUUUUUCCUUUAUUGUAUUCGUGUUCCUGUUGAUUCAUUAUAUAUUGGUUGUUCCAGUUAUCAUUCUGCUGUAGUUCUUUAUUUCGUAUUUCCUUCAGCAUGUUUCCCCCUCCCUAUAAUUCCUGUCUAGCUCUUCAUUACUGUUAUUUGUAUAUACAAUGUUAAAUUAUACAAGUUGAUUUGUAGGUGCCUUGCCUUAGCCUCGUUACUACUUCGUCGAGGUUAGGCUCGACACUUACCAGUACAUGGGGUCGAUUGUACUGAUACUGCACUUUGCACUUUCUGUGCAGAUAUUUAGUACCGGCUCAGGUUGAUCGAGAUUUUUGCUGUUGGACCGCUAUCCGGAGACUCAAUGUAGAUCUGUCGGCAUUUACAGACCUUGAAGUCCCCGUCUAUCUUUUCUAUUCUACUAUUUCCUUCAUUCAAACAAUUAUAUUUCUUUUAGGCUAUUAUUUGUAGUGAAUUUUAGAAUGCUCGUGAAUUAGGACUCCAGAUCUGGGUGGUAGUAAUUAAGGCAGUUUUUUUAUAUUAUUCCGCACUCACCAUAUUUCACCUUAGCUAAUGGUUGUUAUUUACUGAAUGGAAUAAGGAUUGGUUUAAAUGAUUCUCUCACGUUGGCUUGCCUAGCAAGUGAAAUAUUAGGCGCCAUCACGGUCCCGACAGUGGGAAUUCUGGGUCGGGACAGGUGGUUGGUUUGGCUUUUGAGUAGAACUAAUGAAAUAAGGAGAAAGGUGCAAUGUAUUGAAAAA
rnacentral:lncRNA from 1 species